rnacentral:rRNA from 1 species
UUUGAUCCUGGCUCAGAUUGAACGCUGGCGGCAUGCCUUACACAUGCAAGUCGAACGGCAGCACGGAGCUUGCUCUGGUGGCGAGUGGCGAACGGGUGAGUAAUAUAUCGGAACGUACCCUGGAGUGGGGGAUAACGUAGCGAAAGUUACGCUAAUACCGCAUACGAUCUAAGGAUGAAAGUGGGGGAUCGCAAGACCUCAUGCUCCUGGAGCGGCCGAUAUCUGAUUAGCUAGUUGGUAGGGUAAAAGCCUACCAAGGCAUCGAUCAGUAGCUGGUCUGAGAGGACGACCAGCCACACUGGAACUGAGACACGGUCCAGACUCCUACGGGAGGCAGCAGUGGGGAAUUUUGGACAAUGGGCGAAAGCCUGAUCCAGCAAUGCCGCGUGAGUGAAGAAGGCCUUCGGGUUGUAAAGCUCUUUUGUCAGGGAAGAAACGGUGAGAGCUAAUAUCUCUUGCUAAUGACGGUACCUGAAGAAUAAGCACCGGCUAANUACGUGCCAGCAGCCGCGGUAAUACGUAGGGUGCAAGCGUUAAUCGGAAUUACUGGGCGUAAAGCGUGCGCAGGCGGUUUUGUAAGUCUGAUGUGAAAUCCCCGGGCUCAACCUGGGAAUUGCAUUGGAGACUGCAAGGCUAGAAUCUGGCAGAGGGGGGUAGAAUUCCACGUGUAGCAGUGAAAUGCGUAGAUAUGUGGAGGAACACCGAUGGCGAAGGCAGCCCCCUGGGUCAAGAUUGACGCUCAUGCACGAAAGCGUGGGGAGCAAACAGGAUUAGAUACCCUGGUAGUCCACGCCCUAAACGAUGUCUACUAGUUGUCGGGUCUUAAUUGACUUGGUAACGCAGCUAACGCGUGAAGUAGACCGCCUGGGGAGUACGGUCGCAAGAUUAAAACUCAAAGGAAUUGACGGGGACCCGCACAAGCGGUGGAUGUAGUGGAUUAAUUCGAUGCAACGCGAAAAACCUUACCUACCCUUGACAUGGCUGGAAUCCUUGAGAGAUCAGGGAGUGCUCGAAAGAGAACCAGUACACAGGUGUUGCAUG